rnacentral:rRNA from 1 species
CCUACGGGUGGCAGCAGUGGGGAAUAUUGGACAAUGGGGGGAACCCUGAUCCAGCCAUGCCGCGUGUGUGAAGAAGGCCCUCGGGUUGUAAAGCACUUUCAGUGAGGAAGAACGCCUGGUGGUUAAUACCCAUCAGGAAAGACAUCACUCACAGAAGAAGCACCGGCUAACUCCGUGCCAGCAGCCGCGGUAAUACGGAGGGUGCGAGCGUUAAUCGGAAUUACUGCGCGUAAAGCGCGCGUAGGUGGCUUGAUAAGCCGGUUGUGAAAGCCCCGGGCUCAACCUGGGAACGGCAUCCGGAACUGUCAAGCUAGAGUGCAGGAGAGGAAGGUAGAAUUCCCGGUGUAGCGGUGAAAUGCGUAGAGAUCGUGAGGAAUACCAGUGGCGAAGGCGGCCUUCUGGACUGACACUGACACUGAGGUGCGAAAGCGUGGGUAGCAAACAGGAUUAGAUACCCUUGUAGUC